rnacentral:tRNA from 1 species
GGGCCCGUAGCUCAGUUGGUUAGAGCAACUGACUCAUAAUCAGUGGGUCGUAGGUUCGAGUCCUACCGGGCCCACCA